CGAUCUAAUUCUUGUAAAAUCAUUCAACCCCAAGUCCAACUUUUCACAACACAACAUCUAUACACUAAAAAACACUACAAAUCGACAAUUCCAAUGUUCACAGAGGAUACUCUGGCAUCUGCUACACACACUUCCAACGUUCAUCAAUGGUGUCAACGGCAUUCCGGUCGCGUCGUCUUCCUUCCUCCUUCACCUCGUACAACAGGUGUUCAAUUAGAGUCAUCCACCUCCAUACCGAUUUGGAAUCCAUAGGUUAGCCACUUUCGGGUCUCUUCAGAAUUCUCGGCUUCUGGUCGAAUCUACAAUUGGUUCGAGAAAGGUCAAUGAUUGCAGCUGAUUGCGUACUGCAAGUGAGACUUCUCAACAGAGAACUAAAGAGGAUUGGGUAGAGUGGAUAGGUAUUUCAAUAUUGAACUUUUGAAAGAAUCACCUAAUCCAGCAUUAAGAACAUGUGCAACACUGGCUCAAUUAUAGCCUUUUUGUUGGGCAGGAGCUGUUUGCUGCAGGUUUUGUUAGUUGCUGGUCACACCUUAGUAAGGCUAGUUCGUAGUUUAGAAACGAUAUUUUCUUCUCCAAAUAUCCCACCUGAAAUUCUUGCUACACUUCUGAACUUGGGUUGGAUGAUCUUCAAUUUCCAAGGCGAAUUUCCAUCGAAAGCUUGCACAAUCAUUUUGCACAGAGUGCCCCCAAGGCUUAGCUCGAGUGGAAAAAGGUGGUGGAUUUGUGUCUUAGGUCGCAGGUUAAGGCCCUACACCAUGAAAAGUGAAUCCCAAUAUUUAAGUGGAGAAGGGUAGAGGGGCGAGUCCAUCAUCCAGUGAGUUUAGAAGGAUAUUAUUGGUCCAAAGGGCUGGUCACAGGCAAAUUUCUCGGUUAUAAAAAAAAAGAUCUUGCAGAGACUUUCAAGAACUCCAGAUGUUUUUAUGAUAGGCUAGUGAUAGCUCGCCAAUAGGGAUGGUACUGUUUUUUUGAAUGACAUGCUCUUAGAGAUGAAGUGCAAUUUUCGAAUUCCAUAGCACAUCGCCCAUAGAUGGCUUGUGCACCAGAUUCAGCUAAGUAUUUCACUGCGUUUCUCCAACCUUGCAGAAGGAAUUUCGUCUUAGUUCUCCCAGAAGGGUGGGAUCUAUGAUAUGUUCUAGUUGUCUUUUCUCCUGCAAAUUCAUUGCCUAGUGAGCUAAGUUGACCUGCUAACUCGGAAAAGAUCGAUCGGGAAGGCCUAGCACAAAGAACUUCACAUAAAAUGGUCAACAUUGGAGGAAGAAGAAAGAUGGUGAAACUGUUAAAGACACUCACCAAAAGGUGAAGAUGUUUUUGAAAGCCUUGGAGCAACUUUAAAUGUUGCUAAACAAACAAAAGGUUCAAGUGUGCCUAUUUUUGGACUGGGAGCUAUAGGCCUUGCUGCUGCAGAAGGAGCAAGAAUUGCUAGUGCUUCAAGGAUAAUUGGUGUUGAGUUAAAUGCUAGUAGAUUUGAGUAUGGUAAUUAACUUGUGCCUUACACAUUCUCGAUUCAUUAUCUUAUAAUUCCUUCCUUGUAACUUCUCUCAUAGCAAAGGAAAUAACUCAUCCAUUUUACUACUAUUUUACUGCUAAUAAUUUUUUUUUGACAAAGUUUGUGAACCCGAAUGAUUAAAGUAAACCAUGUCAAGAGGUACUAAUAUCUACAUCUCUUAAUGGAUCAUUUCGCGAAAGAAGAAAAAGACAGGUGUGAGUUAAAGUUGAUCAUCUUUUCUUGAAUGAUUAUUUGAUCAAGUAAUUGCUGAGAUGACUAUUGGCAGAUUCGAUCUGAGUGUGAAGUGUACUGGCAUAUUGAUGUUAUGAUUUCAGCAUUUGAAUUGUCCAUGAUGUAUGUUUUCUAUCAUCAAAUUUCCUUAAUUGUAUAUUAUUAUUUAUACAAUAAUCUUAACGAACAGUCAUAAUUAAUUUGAAGAGGCAGUGGCUAUUCUUAUUGGUAUAUACCCCCUUAAGGAAGUUGUGUUCAAGACACACCAUUAUGAACUUUCUAAAUGAAAGGACUCUCAAAGGAACAUUCUUUUGAAAACUACAAACCUCGUUUAGAUAUUCCUUCUUUUUUUGAGAAUUACAUGAAUAAGGAACUUGAAUUGGAGAAAUUCAUCACUCAUACACUUCCCAUACUAUGAAAUCAACAAGGUUUUUGAAUUAAUGUUGAAAGGAGAAGGCCUUCGUUGCAUAAUCACCAUGGUGGACUAAACUUACUUUCCUAGAAAAGGAGCUUCUAGAUAGUCAUUUUUUUUGAGAAAAGACCAAGCAUUAGGUGGAACACUAUGAGAAGGAUCCGAAAGCUGCAAUGGCUGGACUAUUUAACAUGAUGUUUGAGAUUUUCAAAUAUUAUAUCUCUCUAAUGAACGAGGCAUUUUUAAUCAUGGUGAGAGGGAAGCUCUGAGAUCUUGUAUAAAAGCUUUGAACUUCUGGGCUGCUAAGAUUUGUUGGGAGUUACAAGACUUCACGCUCAACAAAUUGAAAGGGAUUAAAGAUGAGCUCAUUAUAAACGUAUAAUUGUUCCAGAAAUGGGCAUUGGUGCAGUAUGGUGAAGUGUAAUAUUUAAGAUGGAAAAUAUCAAUAAAUGCUCCAUGUCUGCCAAGUAUUCCUUCAGGUGCAUUUGUGGAAUUUAUUAUGAUUAUGAACUGUAUAGGGGAAUGCCAAUAUGAAUUUUUUUUAUUUGAACUGGUAAUUAAAAGCUGUUUUCUUUUGCUUUUCAAGGAUUUUAGAUCUUCUGUUCUUCUGGUGAAAGAGGUAUUUUUCCAGAAUGGUGAGAAGGAAUCUCAAUCUUGUGUAAAAUCAUUGACCUUCUGUGCUAUUGAGAGUCGUGGGGUAGCAGCUUGGUUCACUCAUCUCCUGAUAGUGACUUACAUGUUCUCUUUUUGUGUAUGUUGUUUUUCUUUGCCUAGGCUGUGUUCUUUUUUCAGAGUAGUGGCUGCUAAGGAAGGCAACCCUUGUAUCAUCCACAGAGCUAGAAGUUUUGGGGUACUCUUCAGAUAUAUGUAAUGGAAGCAGCUUCCAGACAUGGUAAAAUGUUGAUUGGAUGCCCUUAUUUCCAUGCAUAUGGAACCGAGAAGAUCCUAUGGACCUUAAGAGUCUGCUUGCCCUCAAUGGAUCAGAUGGGAUAAGCUUGAGCUAGGCAGUGAAAGGACAGAGCUUGGUGGAUGGUUGUCAUACAGGAGAAUUUCCAUCGAAAGAUUGCAUAAUAAUCUUGUACAGACUGUCCCCAAGGCUUAGCUCGAGUGGAAAAAGGUGGUGGAUUUGUGUCUUAGGUCGCUGGUUCAAGCCCAACACCAUGCAAAGUGAAGACCGAUAUUUAAGUGCAGAAGGGUAGAUUGGCGGGCCCAUUAUACACUGAUUUCAAAGGCUAUGAUUUGUCCAAAGGGCGGGUAACAAGCGAAUUUCUCGCUUCUAAAAAAAAGAUCUAGCAGAAACUUUCCAGAACUCAAGAUGUUUUGAUGACAUGCUCACCAAUCGGGAUGGUACUGUUUUCUUGAAUGACGGGUCGUGGUGAUGAAGUGCAUACUCCGAAUUUCGUAGCACCUCACCCAUAGAUGGCCUGUGCAGCAGAUUCAACUAAGUAUUUAACCGCUGUUUCUGCAAACUUGCUGCUGUUAAAAAUUUGUCAGACAAACUCACGAAAAGGUAGAAGGAUAGUGCGAGAAAGCGAAGGAUAUUCUAGUGCAAGAGAGUAAUGGGAAGAUGAUCUUCGAUCGCCAAGGCGAAUUUCCGUCGAAAGCUUGCAUAAUAAUCUUGCACAGACUGCCCCCAAGGCUUAGCUCGAGUGGAAAAAGGUGGUGGAUUUGUGUCUUAGGUCGCAGGUUCGAGCCCCACACCAUGCAAAGUGAAGCCCAGUAUUUAAGUGGAGAAAGAUAGAGAGGCGAGACCAUCAUCCACCGAGUUUAUAAGGUUAUGGUUGGUCCUAAGGGCGGUUCAUAGGCAGAUUUCUCAAUUAUCGAAAAAAAAAGAUCUUGCAGAGACUUUCGAGAACUUCGGAAGUUGUGAUGCAGUGAUAUCUUGCCAAUAGGGAUGGUGCUAUUUUCUUGAAUAACGAGAUCUUGUAGAUGAAGUGCAUUCUCCAAAUUCCGUAACCCAUAGAUGGCCUGUACACCAGAUUCAACUAAGUAUUUCACUGCAUUUCUCCAUACUUGCUGAAGGAAUCUGCUCUUAUUCGCCCAGAAGUUUGGGAUCUAUGAUAUGUUCUAGUUGUCUAUUCUUCUGCAAUUUCAUUGCUCAGUCAGCUAAGUUGACCUGCUCCCUUGGAAGAGAUAGAUCUCGGGCAUGCCUAGCACAAAGAACUUCUCAUAAAAUAGCCUCUAUUGGAGGAAGAAGGAGGAUGGUGAAACAAUUAAAGACCCUCACCGAAAGGUGAAGGUAUGCUCUAUUAUCUUUUUGAAAGCCUUGGAGAAACUUUGAUUGUUGCUCAACCAAAAAAAGGUUCAAGUGUGGCUAUUUUUGGACUAGGGGUUGUAGGCCUUGCUAUGAAAGGAGUAGUAAUUUCUAGUGGUUCAAGGAUAAUUGGUGUUAAUUUAAAUGCUAGCAGAUUUGAGCAAGCUAAGAAAUUUUAUGUGACAAAGUUUGUGAACCCGAAGGAUUAAAGUAAACUAGGUUAAGAGGUAAUUGCUGAGAUGACUGAUGGCAGAUUCGAACUAAGUGUGAAGUGGAGAAGGCCUUCGUUGCAUCAUCACCAUGGAGGACUAAACUUACAGUCCUAGAAAAGGAGCUACGCUUUUGUUUGAGAAAAGAUCAAGAAUUGGGUGGGACACUAUAGAAGGAUCUGAAAGCUGCAAUGGAUGGACUAUUGAACAUGAUGUUUGAGGUAAUUUGGAUUUUAAAUUUCCGUCCUUUUGGUGAAGGAGGCAUUGUUUGAGGAUGGUGAGAAGCAAACUCGUAGAAUCUUGUGCAAAAGCAUUGAACUUCUAUGCUUCUGAGAGUCGCGGGGAGUUGCAGCUUGGUUCACUCAUCUCCUGAUAUUGCCUUCUAUGUUCUCUUUUGGUUAAUUGAGUAUGUUGUUUUUCUUCGUCUAGGUUGUGUUCUUUUUUCAGAACAGUGGUUUCUCAGGAAAGCAACCCUUGUAUCAUCCAUAGAGCUAGAAGCUUUUGGGUACUCAUCAAAUAUAUGCAACAGAAGCAACUUCCACACUUUGUAAACUGUUGAUGGAUGUCCUUAUUUCCAUGCAUAUGGAAUCAAGAAGAUCCUAUGGCCCUGAAUAUUCUUCUUUCCCUCAAUGUGAUCAGAUGGGAUAAGGUUGACAAGGCAGUGAAAGGACAAAUCUUGGUGGAUGGAUGUCAUACGGCUUUGUUUGGAAGACGUCAGAGUUUCGUAGAUGGUGUCUUGGUGGGGAAAUAUAAAUUUCUGAUAUUUUUAGCUAUGGCUUGGCACAAAGAACUUUAAUCCCCAUGAAUGUUGAAGGGAGAAGGCCGUCAUUGCAUUAUCACCAUGGAGGACUAAGUCCUAGAAAAGGAUCUUCUAGAUAGUGGCUUUUGUUUGAGAAAAGAUCAAGCAUUCGGUGGAACAGUAUGAGAAGGAUCAGAAAGUUGCAAUGGCUCGACUAUUGAAUAUGAUGUUUAAGGGAAUGUGACACAAGUGACCAGCUGAUCAGUGGUAGAAGAGGAUGACCCAUGCUAGGCAUAUUAACUCCCUGGGAUACGUUCCUCAUAAUUACACAAUUUGGGAUCAGCCCAUGCAGGUUCAACAGGGUGUUGAAGACAUUAACUAUAGCUGUUCGGACAACAAAGCUUUUCAUCCCGACUUGAAAGAUGAGAGCCCUAAGUUAAGAGAAUUAAUAAAGAAGAUACACCUUAAUAGAGGCCACCUUGUAAGAAGUGUGGCAAACUUCAUGGAGGAUAGUGUAUGAUGGGCUGUAACGCUUAUUAGAGUUGUGGCAAACCGGGUCACGUGAUGAAGGAUUGUGCGAAUAGGAGAUGUCAAGAAAAAUUGAAGGGGAAAGUUCAGCCUAAUAGUCCAAGUGAAGAGACUCCGAGGAGGCAACGUUCAUCCUAAUAGUACAAGGGAAGAGACUACAAGGAGGCAACGAUUCUUUGCACUAAAGUCUAGGGGUGCAGGGGAAGGCAAUUAUGGUGAUGUCUCGAGUUUAUAGCCUUAAGUAGUUUUUCAUGUGUUUGACUGUGUGUGGUUUUAUGCACUAAUAUGAGGUUAAUAUGUUUGAGUUAUCAUGGUUGUUGGUUAUUUGUCUUCCUUAUGUGUUUACUUAUGUUGUAUGCUUUGAUGAGACUAGGUUAGGAAAGAGUUUCCUAAGUCUAUUAAUGUAAAACUUCUAGUAGGUUUCAAA